ACAAAGUAGUGAGAGGGAUAGUGGGAAGCCCAGUGGGAUAAGCUGGAACGAGAUGGUUUUGGCCUAAAUUCGGCUAAUUUCCUCACUGGUGAAACCUUUGAUCUCAAUGCAGUUUUCUGUUCCCAAAAUUAGAAUCUGUUAAGAACAGAGUGGACUAAGUUUUGCAGUCGUUACUCUUUGCCAAAAAUUGCGUUGAUUAGGAGUGCAAAGGCGAAUUUAGUUAUUGCGCACAUGCAUUUCAGAGUAUGUGUUCCCUAACGAAACUAUGCAAAUUCACAAUUUGAUCAAACGGAAACGAAAAUAGAUUUACACCAGUUAACACUUGGAACACACCGGCACUGCAUUUUUGUACACCAUAAUUACUUUAAUUUCCAAUGAAACGCUGCGUUUGCCUUGCAGCAUUGCGUUGCAGUGCGUAACUGUAAACGGCUUGACAGAAAUGGUAGCAGAAGGUGAAUGUUGAACUUUUGUUGCAUACAUUUCCAGAUGAAGCUGCAUACUAUUUUGCCCAAAAACGCUAUCGGUGUGUUCGAAAAGUAACGCUUAAACGGCAAGAUGUUUUCGUAACAGGACGGACGUUGACAUUGUCCUCACGUGAAUAGCAUGACACACUUUUAAUGUCAAUGCUAAGGCUAGCCGACUAAACUUAACUCUAUGAUUUACGAUGAAGUUGGGCAGCGAAUAGUGUGGGCGAAUUGGAGCUCCGAAGUCAUAUUAAAUUACGUGUUUAUAUUUAAUAAACUAUAUUUUAGAUAGAACAAUGUCGUGUGUAAUUUCGGGCUAUUCUUUGGGUACUGAAAUCAGUAGGUUUUGAUAAAAACGUAAUUUGAUGUGACGUCUGUGCUCUAGUUCGCCCACACGAAUGGCCUCUCAACUCUGUCGUAAAUCGUGUCGUUGCGUUUAAUCGUCUAAGUCAAAACCACGAUUUUCCAAUGAUGAGGGAUAAGAAUUUGCCAAGAAAAUUAUUUUGUAAUAUUAUAAUUAUACUGUAUAGACAUGCUGGUUAGAUAUGAAUAAGGACACCAUCACUGUCAGUCAGAUGUGUUUGUGACAUUGUUGCUGGAUGCAUGAAUGAAUGGUUUAGAUGUUUCACCAAAGGAAUAUGCAGGCAUUUCUCCUUCCCUGUGGAUUCUAAGUUAUGUUGGCCUGAUCUUGGCAGUGGUUACCUUCUGAAGAUGUGGCAUUCCAUUCUCACUUGAACUAGGCCCCAUGGCCUUGUUUUGGCUCCAAGCUGUGACUGGGAGCUUCUACUUUUGCAGGUUUCUGCAUGGGGGGUGCAGUGAACCGGGACCAGGUUCUAGAGCAGCUUGGCACCUGCUAAGGUGAAGACCAAGUGUUGGAGGUGGUGGGCAAGAACAAGGCUAAACUGACUGUGAACCAUGUUGGCUGUGCCAUGGUCAUGCUCUGGCAGUUCCAGUGAGAGAAGCAACAGAUGCUGAGAACGUUUUGAGUUCUUUAAAAGCCACCCUGAGUUCCUGACUCUCCGGGUGCUGGCUGGGAACUAAAUUGAGCUCGUGGAUGAUUUCACAUUGGUGGACAUGCUCUAAAAUGUUCUCAGGUACAGAUGUUGGCUAGGUGGGUAAGCCUAUAUCAGUCCUGAAAUGUUUUUAAAAAAACGUUUUCACAUCAACCUUGUAUCUUUGAAGGCUCAAUGUGGAACCAUAUGAUUAUCUUGUUCAUCAUUUGGUCUCAGAGGCUUGGCUUAGAUUAUGCAGGUAAAAUAUAUGUAUAUUUGCCAUUAAAUACAGCAGAAUCAUUGAGGGGUGUGAGCUGGUGUACAGAUGUAAAUUCACUGUUUUGCAGAUUUCUGAUGCCUUCACUGUUUAAGUUUGCUGUCUCCCUAAGUGAUCAACAUCUGCAGAACAGUCCUCUGAUGGGUCAGAUCACUGACAUUUUGAAUAAAAAAUUCUCCACAAUUGAUGAUGUGAGGCUGGAGAGUACAACACUGCUUUAGGCAGAGGAGUUUAAUGCCAGCGGGCCCUGGCUGUGGCAGAGACACUGGAGGAGAUUCAGCGUAGAAACCUGCAGCUGAUCCAAAGAUUGUGUCAGUAGUCCACAAGAACCUACAUGUUUUCAAGCCCAUUGAGAUAUCCAGGAUCACACAAACCCUGAUCCUGCUGCAUUACCAGAGUCCAGAGCUCUUCACUAAAUUAAGGAACAUCCUAGUUCAGACAGUGUCUACCCAUAUGAGGUGACCAUGCUACCUGGACUCGACGAAGGCGUAAUUUCAUGGGUGGAUGCAGUGCUGCUCCAGUGUAAUCUGAAUGAACCUUUGCAAUGGCUGUCGCUAAGUGGGUGAGCAAUGACCCGUCCUACCGACACAACACUCCCAGCAAGUGUGUGCGUCUGCUGCACUGAACCGCUGCGUGCAUGAGUGCCUGCGCAAGGCUGAGUGCCUGGACCGGAUGUUGGAGGAGCUCAAGUACAUGUCAGGGGAAUGGUUUGAGGAGAUUCUGCUGGAGGAGACCAUGGUUACGCUCCGGAGGCUGGAGAACCAGAUAUCUGGGCCAAUGUGCCCGAGAUGGCCCUUUUUCUGACCAUGACUAGUCACCUCUCUACUCCAUUAAUGGACCGCGUAGCUAGCAUGACCAUGGAGCACAUCAACAAGUACUCAGCAACUUCAUGCCACCGUGCUGCCCUUUGCUGUACUGAAUUAUAAUCCAGCAAGGGUGGAUGAGCUGUUUGACAUCUGCAUUCAGCACUUCAUACCUCACAUCA